rnacentral:rRNA from 1 species
GAUGAGCGCUGGCGGCGUGCCUAAUACAUGCAAGUCGAGCGAACGGACGAGAAGCUUGCUUUUCUGAUGUUAGCGGCGGACGGGUGAGUAACACGUGGAUAACCUACCUAUAAGACUGGGAUAACUUCGGGAAACCGGAGCUAAUACCGGAUAAUAUUUUGAACCGCAUGGUUCAAAAGUGAAAGACGGUCUUGCUGUCACUUAUAGAUGGAUCCGCGCUGCAUUAGCUAGUUGGUAAGGUAACGGCUUACCAAGGCAACGAUGCAUAGCCGACCUGAGAGGGUGAUCGGCCACACUGGAACUGAGACACGGUCCAGACUCCUACGGGAGGCAGCAGUAGGGAAUCUUCCGCAAUGGGCGAAAGCCUGACGGAGCAACGCCGCGUGAGUGAUGAAGGUCUUCGGAUCGUAAAACUCUGUUAUUAGGGAAGAACAUAUGUGUAAGUAACUGUGAACAUCUUGACGGUACCUAAUCAGAAAGCCACGGCUAACUACGUG